GACGUAGGGCGCGAGCGUUGUCCGGAAUUAUUGGGCGUAAAGAGCUCGUAGGCGGUCUGUCGCGUCGGCUGUGAAAACCCGAGGCUCAACCGCGGGCCUGCAGCCGAUACGGGCGAGGCUAGAGUUCGGUAGGGGAGACUGGAAUUCCUGGUGUAGCGGUGAAAUGCGCAGAUAUCAGGAGGAACACCGGUGGCGAAGGCGGGUCUCUGGGCCGAUACUGACGCUGAGGAGCGAAAGCGUGGGGAGCGAACAGG
rnacentral:rRNA from 1 species